rnacentral:rRNA from 1 species
UCGAACGAGCGAGAGAGAGCUUGCUUUCUCAAGCGAGUGGCGAACGGGUGAGUAACGCGUGAGGAACCUGCCUCAAAGAGGGGGACAACAGUUGGAAACGACUGCUAAUACCGCAUAAGCCCACGACUCGGCAUCGGGUAGAGGGAAAAGGAGCAAUCCGCUUUGAGAUGGCCUCGCGUCCGAUUAGCUAGUUGGUGAGGUAAUGGCCCACCAAGGCGACGAUCGGUAGCCGGACUGAGAGGUUGAACGGCCACAUUGGGACUGAGACACGGCCCAGACUCCUACGGGAGGCAGCAGUGGGGAAUAUUGCACAAUGGGGGAAACCCUGAUGCAGCGACGCCGCGUGGAGGAAGAAGGUCUUCGGAUUGUAAACUCCUGUUGUUGAGGAAGAUAAUGACGGUACUCAACAAGGAAGUGACGGCUAACUACGUGCCAGCAGCCGCGGUAAAACGUAGGUCACAAGCGUUGUCCGGAAUUACUGGGUGUAAAGGGAGCGCAGGCGGGAAGACAAGUUGGAAGUGAAAUCCAUGGGCUCAACCCAUGAACUGCUUUCAAAACUGUUUUUCUUGAGUAGUGCAGAGGUAGGCGGAAUUCCCGGUGUAGCGGUGGAAUGCGUAGAUAUCGGGAGGAACACCAGUGGCGAAGGCGGCCUACUGGGCACCAACUGACGCUGAGGCUCGAAAGUGUGGGUAGCAAACAGGAUUAGAUACCCUGGUAGUCCACACUGUAAACGAUGAUUACUAGGUGUUGGAGGAUUGACCCCUUCAGUGCCGCAGUUAACACAAUAAGUAAUCCACCUGGGGAGUACGACCGCAAGGUUGAAACU